AGAGUUUGAUCCUGGCUCAGGACGAACGCUGGCGGCGUGCCUAAUACAUGCAAGUAGAACGCUGAAGAGAGGAGCUUGCUCUUCUUGGAUGAGUUGCGAACGGGUGAGUAACGCGUAGGUAACCUGCCUUGUAGCGGGGGAUAACUAUUGGAAACGAUAGCUAAUACCGCAUAACAAUGGAUGACACAUGUCAUUUAUUUGAAAGGGGCAAUUGCUCCACUACAAGAUGGACCUGCGUUGUAUUAGCUAGUAGGUGAGGUAACGGCUCACCUAGGCGACGAUACAUAGCCGACCUGAGAGGGUGAUCGGCCACACUGGGACUGAGACACGGCCCAGACUCCUACGGGAGGCAGCAGUAGGGAAUCUUCGGCAAUGGGGGCAACCCUGACCGAGCAACGCCGCGUGAGUGAAGAAGGUUUUCGGAUCGUAAAGCUCUGUUGUAAGUCAAGAACGAGUGUGAGAGUGGAAAGUUCACACUGUGACGGUAGCUUACCAGAAAGGGACGGCUAACUACGUGCCAGCAGCCGGCGGUAAACGUAGGUCCCGAGCGUUGUCCGGAUUUAUUGGGCGUAAAGCGAGCGCAGGCGGUUUGAUAAGUCUGAAUUAAAGGCUGUGGCUCAAACCAUAGUUCGCUUUGGAAACUGUCAACUUGAGUGCAGAAGGGGAGAGUGGAAUUCCAUGUGUAGCGGUGAAAUGCGUAGAUAUAUGGAGGAACACCGGUGGCGAAAGCGGCUCUCUGGUCUGUAACUGACGCUGAGGCUCGAAAGCGUGGGGAGCGAACAGGAUUAGAUACCCUGGUAGUCCACGCCGUAAACGAUGAGUGCUAGGUGUUGGAUCCUUUCCGGGGAUUCAGUGCCGCAGCUAACGCAUUAAGCACUCCGCCUGGGGAGUACGACCGCAAAGGUUGAAACUCAAAGGAAUUGACGGGGGCCCGCACAAGCGGUGGAGCAUGUGGUUUAAUUCGAAGCAACGCGAAGAACCUUACCAGGUCUUGACAUCCCGAUGCUAUUUCUAGAGAUAGAAAGUUACUUCGGUACAUCGGUGACAGGUGGUGCAUGGUUGUCGUCAGCUCGUGUCGUGAGAUGUUGGGUUAAGUCCCGCAACGAGCGCAACCCCUAUUGUUAGUUGCCAUCAUUCAGUUGGGCACUCUAGCGAGACUGCCGGUAAUAAACCGGAGGAAGGUGGGGAUGACGUCAAAUCAUCAUGCCCCUUAUGACCUGGGCUACACACGUGCUACAAUGGUUGGUACAACGAGUUGCGAGUCGGUGACGGCAAGCUAAUCUCUUAAAGCCAAUCUCAGUUCGGAUUGUAGGCUGCAACUCGCCUACAUGAAGUCGGAAUCGCUAGUAAUCGCGGAUCAGCACGCCGCGGUGAAUACGUUCCCGGGCCUUGUACACACCGCCCGUCACACCACGAGAGUUUGUAACACCCGAAGUCGGUGAGGUAACCUUUUGGAGCCAGCCGCCUAAGGUGGGAUAGAUGAUUGGGGUGAAGUCGUAACAAGGUAGCCGUAUCGGAAGGUGCGGCUGGAUCACCU
rnacentral:rRNA from 1 species